UUUUUUUUUAUGAAUUCAAUCCAAAAAAAUCAUCUUAAUCAUCAUCAUUUCUUUUCUUUUUUGGGAUGAAAACAAAAACAACUUUUUCUUUGUUACAGGAAGAAAUCACCAAAAUCACCAAUGGCAUCUUCAACCUUUCCAACAAUGAUCAAAUGCACCACAAAUUGGUAAAUAAAAGCACACCGUUUGAAUUUCAAUUUAAAGUUUCCUCUUGAUUCUUAGCCUCUCUCCUUGCUUCAUCCAAAUCAUGUACUUUUAGAAAUCAUCAGAGCUCAAUCCAUUCGAACCCUCUUGUUUUGAUUUGUGUUUUUUCUUUUGUUUAAAGAUUAUUGCUGAUUUGCAGUGUUAGUAAAUCUGAAGAAGAAAAUAAUUAGAAAAUGAGCUUGAAGAUUUUGCUUGAUUUGACUUAUUGUUUGAAAUGAAAGUGAAGUUUUUUUAGUGGAGAAAUUGUUAGGUUUUCCAUGAAAAGAUGAUGUUGAUGCCGAAAUUGUUGUUGUUUUUGCAAUAAUUAUAGGUUUUCUUUUAUGGGUUAUUUCAUGAGAACGAAAAGGAUUUAUGGGUUUGUUGUUGCUAAUUGAUUUUGUUGUUGUUGUAUGAGAAGAUUUAUGGGUUACUUCAUGAUGAUGAUGUCAAAAUUGUUUUUGCUACCGUAGAUGUUCUUUCUAUUUUUCAGAAAUGGAUGAAAGAGAAGAUUGAGAUGGGGAAGAUGAUGGAUGAAGGAGAUGAAGGAUUGAUUUUGCUGUUGACGUUCUUUCUAUUUUCUGGGUUUUGGAUAAAGAUUGAUUAAGGUGAUGAUGAUGAUGAUGAAGGUUCAUGAAGGUGAUGAUGAAGAAAAUGAUGAAGAUUGAGAAAUUGUUUUUCCAAAAAUGGAUGAAGAAGAUGAAGGCUUUAAGUCGAGAAGAUGAAGAAUUUAAGUGGAGAAUAGGAAGAAAAUAAAUUAAGUUUUCAUGCAAUGCCAUAAUGACACGUGUACAACAGUUAACAUUUUUUUUUAUUAAACCUAACGUUUUUUAAUUAAACUUAACG
rnacentral:lncRNA from 1 species